ACUGACCAAUCAAACUUCCAUCACGUGCACAGCAAUGAGGACGUAAUCAUGUAAGCAGAGCUGAUGCAAAGAGGAAGAUGAGCCGAUCACCUAAACCUGCUUGCUGAAGCUAACUCUAUGCUGAUGCACAAAAUGCCAUGUGUAUAUCAACAAUGUAGCAUAUGAGUUAAAGGGAAACUAUAAGAAUCCCCAGUUUGACAUUGAAAUGAGCAAUGGCAGGCAUCGUGUUUCACCCUUCACAGCAGCGGAUCUAUGUUUUGUGAUCCAAAAGGACCAACGACCAGAAACCAACAAUGGUUGAAGCAAAAAAAAAAAAAA